rnacentral:tRNA from 1 species
GGGCAGGUGGCCGAGCGGACAAUGGCAACAGACUGUAAAUCUGUCGGCGUAGCCUACGGAGGUUCGAAUCCUUCCCUGCCCACCA